CGGAGAGAACGCCGGUGGCGGGGCUGGUAGCCCGGCAGCCGCAGGUGGGGCCACCAGCGCUGGCUGAGGGACCGAGCCGGAGAGCCCCGGAGCCCCCGUAACCCGCGCGGGGAGCGCCCAGGAUGCCGCGCGGGGACUCGGAGCAGGUGCGCUACUGCGCGCGCUUCUCUUACCUCUGGCUCAAGUUUUCACUUAUCAUCUACUCCACCGUGUUCUGGCUGAUUGGGGCCCUGGUCCUGUCUGUGGGCAUCUAUGCAGAGGUUGAGCGGCAGAAAUAUAAAACCCUUGAAAGUGCCUUCCUGGCUCCAGCCAUCAUCCUCAUCCUCCUGGGCGUCGUCAUGUUCAUGGUCUCCUUCAUUGGUGUGCUGGCGUCCCUCCGUGACAACCUGUACCUUCUCCAAGCAUUCAUGUACAUCCUUGGGAUCUGCCUCAUCAUGGAGCUCAUUGGUGGCGUGGUGGCCUUGACCUUCCGGAACCAGACCAUUGACUUCCUGAACGACAACAUUCGAAGAGGAAUUGAGAACUACUAUGAUGAUCUGGACUUCAAAAACAUCAUGGACUUUGUUCAGAAAAAGGGCCCCUUCCUGUCGUCUGAGCAGGGCCUGGGCGAUGACGGCAGCUCCUCUUUCCUGCUUGCUUCCCUCAGUUCAAGUGCUGUGGCGGGGAGGACUACCGAGAUUGGAGCAAGAACCAGUACCACGACUGCAGUGCCCCUGGACCCCUGGCCUGUGGGGUGCCCUACACCUGCUGCAUCAGGAACACGGGGCUGGAAUUGCGAACAAAUCACGCCAGCCAGCAUUCUUGUGCUUCUCCACGUGCCCAGCCCCGUGAUAAGAACUUUAUAUGUGUGUCUCACUUUAUGUCCAAAACAGCCCUAGGAGACAGAAGUUGUCAACACCAUGUGUGGCUACAAAACUAUCGACAAGGAGCGUUUCAGUGUGCAGGAUGUCAUCUACGUGCGGGGCUGCACCAACGCCGUGAUCAUCUGGUUCAUGGACAACUACACCAUCAUGGCGGGCAUCCUCCUGGGCAUCCUGCUUCCCCAGUUCCUGGGGGUGCUGCUGACGCUGCUGUACAUCACCCGGGUGGAGGACAUCAUCAUGGAGCACUCUGUCACUGAUGGGCUCCUGGGGCCCGGUGCCAAGCCCAGCGUGGAGGCGGCAGGCACGGGAUGCUGCUUGUGCUACCCCAAUUAGGGCCCAGCCUGCCAUGGCAGCUCCAACAAGGACCGUCUGGGAUAGCACCUCUCAGUCAACAUCGUGGGGCUGGACAGGGCUGCGGCCCCUCUGCCCACACUCAGUACUGACCAAAGCCAGGGCUGUGUGUGCCUGUGUGUAGGUCCCACGGCCUCUGCCUCCCCAGGGGGCAGAGCCUGGGCCUCUCCUAAGAGGCUUCCCCCGAGGCAGCUCUGGAAUCUGUGCCCACCUGGGGCCUGGGGAACAAGGCCCUCCUUUCUCCAGGCCUGGGCUGCGGGGGAGGGAGAGCCUGAGGCUCUGCUCAGGGCCCAUUUCAUCUCUGGCAGUGCCUUGGCGGUGGUGUUCAAGGCAGUUUUGCAGCAUCUGUAAUUGGGGAGAGGGAGUGUGCCCCUCGGGGCAGGAGGGAAGGGCAUCUGGGGAAGGGCAGGAGGGAAGAGCUGUCCCUGCAGCCACGCCCAUGGCCAGGUUGGCCUCUUCUCAGCCUCCCAGGUGCCUUGAGCCCUCUUGCAAGGGCGGCUGCUUCCUUGAGCCUAGUUUUUUUACGUGAUUUUUGUAACAUUCAUUUUUUUGUACAGAUAACAGGAGUUUCUGACUAAUCAAAGCUGGUAUUUCCCCGCAUGUCUUAUUCUUGCCCUUCCCCCAACCAGUUUGUUAAUCAAACAAUAAAAACAUGAUUUUUUUUUUUUUUUU